CGGGAGGUCCGUGCAGCCGCGCCGGCUCGACCGGUGAGGAAAGUCCGGACACCACCACGCAGCGUGCUCGAUAACGUCGAGGCGGCGAUGCCCCAAGGCAAAGCCGACGGAAAGUGCCACAGAAACGACACCGCCGCUGCCCUUCGGGGCUGCGGUAAGGGUGAAAUGGUGCGGUAAGAGCGCACCGCACACGUGGCGACACGUGUGGCAGGGCAAACCCCACGCGGUGCAAGACCGAGCAGAUGCGUUCGUCCUGUGCGUGGCAGGCGCUUCCUAAUCAGGAAGCACGCAUCGGGUAGGUCGCACAAGAGGCGCGCAGCAAUGCGUCGUCCAAGGUUCAUGGCUGCACGUGCUCGGCUCACUCCGGGCACCGACAGAAUCCGGCUUACAGGACCUUUCGCCUG
rnacentral:RNase_P_RNA from 1 species